rnacentral:rRNA from 1 species
AGCGAACGCUGGCGGCGUGCCUAACACAUGCAAGUCGAACGUGAAAGGGAGCAAUCCUGAGUAAAGUGGCGUACGGGUGAGUAACGCGUAGGUAAUCUACCCCAGAAUCUGGAAUAACCUGCCGAAAGGCGGGCUAAUACUGGAUAGAGCGAUGGAAUCCGUAAUUGGGUUUUUCGGGAAAGGGAGCCUGUAAGGGCCCUCGUUUUGGGAUGAGCCUGCGUCUCAUUAGCUAGUUGGUGGGGUAAAGGCCCACCAAGGCAUUGAUGGGUAGCUGGUCUGAGAGGAUGAUCAGCCACACUGGAACUGAAACACGGUCCAGACUCCUACGGGAGGCAGCAGUGGGGAAUCUUGCGCAAUGGACGAAAGUCUGACGCAGCCACGCCGCGUGAGUGAAGAAGGCCUUCGGGUUGUAAAGCUCUGUCGGAAGGGACGAAAAUGCAGCGGGUGAAUAGCCCGUUGAACUGACGGUACCUUCAAAGGAAGCACCGGCUAACUCCGUGCCAGCAGCCGCCGUAAAAC